rnacentral:tRNA from 1 species
GGUUGUGGCUCAGUGGUAGAGCACUUGCCUAGCAUGUGUGAGGCACUGGGUUCAAUCCCUGGCACCA